AUCCUCCUUUCCCUCUAAGAUAGGUGCAUUAGGAUAAAGAAUAUUCAUAAUAUCAUCGUCUAUUCUAUCACCAACUGCUACAUCAUGUAGAAAAUCAACAUCUCUAAAUUGAAAACAUGGGUGACCACUAUCAAGGAUUCCGAAGGUUUCAUUACUAUUUCUAGGUUGGCUACUACUUUGAACUUGUUUAUCUUUUCUAGGUCGGGGAGCCGGGGGAGN
rnacentral:lncRNA from 1 species